UCGGUCCGAGGGCGGGUCUGGGCCGGGGAAGCCCAGCGGCGGGAAGUCCCUGCGUCCCUGAGUUUCACUUCCACUUCACAACCUGGGUCGAGUCCUUCUGCCUGGACACUCGUGACGCGGGCCCCGGUCUCACUUUCAUUGGCCGUCCGGUUUCCAGACCCAGAAAUUGAACUCGAUGGAGCCUAGGACCCUCCUCCUGCUGCUCACGGGGACCCUGACCCUGACCCUGACCGAGACCCAGGCGGGCUCGCAACUCUGAGUUACUUCUACACCGCCGUGUCCCGGCCCGGCCUGGGGUAGCCGCGCUUUCUCGCCGUGGGCUACGUGGACGACACGCAGUUCGUGGGCUUCGACAGCGACGCCGAGAACCCGAGGAUGGAGCCACGGGCGCCUUGGUGAGGCAGGUGGACCCGGGGUACUGGGACAGGGAGACACAGCGCUGCAAAAACAUUGCGCAAACUGACCGCGUGAACCUGAACACCCGGCGCGGCUAGGAAAACCAGAGCGAGGCUGCUCUCUGCUAUGGCCUGGGAAAGCAGUGGAAGAUGGCCCAAGUCCUUGGGCCCUGCACCCACGUGGGAGACCUGGAACAAGCUCCUGGCUCCUGGCUUUGGAUCGACGCAGCAUCUGGGGAAUGAACCAGCAGAUGGAAGACUCUCUCUGCCUCUCCUUCUCUCUCUCUGUAACUCUUUUGAAUAAAUAUAUUAAAUCUUAAAAAAAUAGAAGAAAGUGAAAAUAAAGAGAAUUUCCAUGUA